UACGAAGGGGGCUAGCGUUGCUCGGAAUCACUGGGCGUAAAGCGCACGUAGGCGGGUCGUUAAGUCGGGGGUGAAAUCCUGGAGCUCAACUCCAGAACUGCCUUCGAUACUGGCGAUCUUGAGUCUGGGAGAGGUGAGUGGAACUCCGAGUGUAGAGGUGAAAUUCGUAGAUAUUCGGAAGAACACCAGUGGCGAAGGCGGCUCACUGGCCCGGUACUGACGCUGAGACGCGAAAGCGUGGGGAGCGAACAGG
rnacentral:rRNA from 1 species